UACCAGUUCGUGCCACUGAUAUUUGUGUAGGAGGGCAUUGGACAUUUCGUCCCACUGAUAAUAUAUAGGCGGAUAGGUGUGAAUAAUACCGUAUAGAAGGUGUGAAUCAUAACAGGAAACUUUCGCACCUUUGAUUGUUUCAUCUGUUCAAUGGUAAAACAAGAUUGUUUUACUUCAUGAUUGUUUAAGAGUAAAUUCACAUGCUUAAUAUAAUACAUUAACAAAAAUUACACAAAACAUUUUCAAUACAUUGACAUUAACCAUAUCAGAAAUUAAUGCAUACAUACAUUUUACCAAUAUCUAGAUUUAUUACAUAAAUAUAUUGAAACAUUUGCAAUAAAUUGACAUUAAAGGGGCCUUUUCACAGAUUUUGGCAUGUUUAAAAGUUUGUCAUUAAAUGCUUUAUAUUGAUAAAUUUAAACAUUGGAUAUAAAAAGCUUCAGUAAAAAAUCAAGAAUAAAAUGAAAAAAAAAAAAAAGGUAACCCUCAGCAGGGCUCGAACCACCGACCCCUGGAUUCCUGGAGUAAAAAGUCUGCCACUUAAACCACUCGGCCAUCCUUCCGGAUACAAUGCCAGAUGUAUUUUAUUCUUUAUAUAAGCAAUCAUCGUAGAUUCACAAAAUAUGACGACAACAACAGAACUCUCCAAAUUAUUAAUUCGUUUCGCAUUGCAAUGCUUUGUUAUUUUCGGGUUAUUAAAUCGUCAAAAGAUGCAUAUAAUAGUAUUACUGUUUCCGAACAAAUAGCAUAACUAAAACGAAAAUUAGCGAAUCUGAAACAACUUUUUUCAAUUUUGUCAAUUUACCCAAACGUGAAAAGGCCCCUUUAACAAUAUCAGAAGUGAAUGUAUACAUACAUUUUAAAAUGUUUUAAUACACAUUUACAAAAGUACACAAAUAUAUAAACAAAAAUACAACAGCAUACUAUCCUAUCCUAUACAUACACAAAUCAGAUAUACAAUGGCGCAACAGUAGGACGAGCACGUAAAACCCUAGGUCGGGACGCCCUGCUCGACCGUUGAUUCUGCGAUGCCACCCUGGAAAAAAGAAAUAUGUUUUGAACUAUGAUAUAUAUUAGAUUUUAUAUAAUAAUAUUUAAAUUAUAACUAUCAAUUAAAAAUAUCAUAUAUUAGUUUUUAUAUGAUAAUAUUUAAAUUAUAACUAUCAAUUGAAAAUAAUAUAUUGCUUAAUUAUGCUAUAUAUGCAAAAAAUACCUUCAACGUCGUUGUUCGUUCGAACCGUCUGGCGAUAUACGCUCCCAUUGUCUGGUGUCCACAUCGAACCUCGGAUCCACGUCCGUUGCAUGUACAUCACCACAUUCAGUAUCGGACCUCCGACCUCUUCAGCCUGCAGCUUCAGCUGUUCGAAGGCGGGAACGAUGUGCUCGCACGGCAAAUACGGUAAGGACAUCAGUUUCCUUAAGAAGAGGAACUUGUCGCCCUUUGCCGAAUAUGCCGUGGCGAGGCCCUCGUUCACCAAUUUUCUGUACACGCGCUGAUUUUAAUGAAAGACACAUCCUCAUGUUCAUGUUAUUUUAUUAUUUAUGUAUAUAGUUCAUACAAAUGAAGCAUAAAAAAUAACAGCUCUUCACGUUUUAAAUUUAUUAAAAAUAAUGAACAUAACGAACUAUGCACAAAUGUUUUUAUACUAACAAUAAAUCAUUUUAUUUUUACAAACACAUACACAUGAUGCAUAAAACAAUAGCAACAUUUUAUGCUUUAUAUUUAUUAAACAUAAUGAAUAAAUCAUUUUAUUUUUUGUUAUUUACUAAUUAUAAUUGUCAACAUUGUUGUAAUUUUCAAAGUUAAUAUACACCCCAAUAUCAUUCACACCUUUACAGCAUUAUUCACACCUAUCCGCCAAUAUAUUAUCAGUGGGACGAAACGUCUACCUCUUUUCAACACAAAUAUCAGUGGCACGAACUGGUAGUGGCACGAAACGUCCAUAAACCGCCCAGACAUAAGGCUGGAAUGAGGUAUAAGACUUUUGAUUGGUUCAAAUUUUUGCACAGGAAAUUAUUUGAAAACAACAACUUUUGAAAAACAAGAUGGUUUCAGCAAUUGAAUAUUGAGCUAAAUUAAAUUAACAUUGAGACUUAUAAUAGCUCUGCAAAAUGUAUUGAAAUACUGUCAGCAUGAAGUUUUGUGUGAUGAAAACAAUGUGUUUUUACUACAAUUUGGAAAUCAACAAUAAGUUUGUUGGAAAAGAGGUUCAACUGUGUUUUUUUUGGAAUACUGAAGAACAGGUUUGUACUGUCAUUUCUUCAUCAUUUUUUUAUUUAGUUUAUUAAAUUAAUUAUGAUCAUUAUUAUAUUUAUGUAUUGUCACUGGAAAAUGUAAAUUGAUAAGUUAAUGUUUUGCAAUUUAAAGGAAAAACAACACAAUUUGAAGCAAAUAUAGAUAAACAUACACAUGACAAAGUGUAAAUGUUGUGUACAGUGAAUUGUUGUGGUUGUGUUUUAUUUAUGAUUAUUGUCAUCUUUAUUGUUAUUUAUAGAUAUUUCUGGUUAUUACUGAACAGAUUUCUUUCCCUCAUAUUUUAAUAUUGAAGGUUAAACUCUUGCCCCAAGAGCAAAAGGGGUUAUCAUACUACCUGAUGUAUGGACUUUUACACCAGGCUUUUACCCUGCACGAGCUGGCCAACUUGAGUGGAACUGAAGUGGGCAAACCUCGCCCUGUCCAUGAACAAGAAAGCUGGAUUUGUUGAGAGAGUAUCAUUAAAGCUGAAAUCCAGCAUGAAACCAGGGAGGUGAAGGCCAUCGCACAGGCCAUGUGCCGACUUUUCACUCCCCACCAGCUUGUGACUUGCUCCAUAAAGGGAGCAACAACUACAACGGGGUCACCAAGACCAAGCCUCCCCCCUGCUGAGAGAAAUGCAAUCAUUGAUGUCAUAGCCAAAACCUUUGACAAGCCUCUGGUGGAUGUUGAAGAAAAGAUGAGAGGUUGUUUAAGGCGUCUGCGGCUGAUGCACAAGUAGACUGAAGUCUUUGUAAAUAAAAUGUGCUGUUAAAAUGAUUAUUUAACCAUUGUUUUCACUUUGUUAUAUAGAUUUGCACCUGUUGUAACAAAAUUAACUUAUUUUUGUGCUCCCGGUAGGGUCUCAUAUAGCAGUUGAACUGUCCGUCUGUCUGUCUGUCUAUCCAUCCGAAAACUUUAGCAUUGGUCAUAACUUUUGCAAUAUUGAAGAAAGCCACGAAGAAAGUAUGGGGACAGGGAAACAUGUUGUUAAAAAUGCCUGAUUGUAUGCUGUGAUUUCGUUGAAUGUAGAUAUGUUAUUUAAUGUUAAUAAAUAUGUUUAUUUACUAA